rnacentral:tRNA from 1 species
GACGGUCAGCGCGUCGGGGUGGGCCUCGGUCUCGGCGAGGAUCCGCGUGGCCAUGGCCGCGUCACGCUCGUUCCACUCGUGCUCCCCGUCG